AAGAAAGAGAAGCUUGGCAGUUGGCUUUCUGAUAUUUCACAACCUUUUAAUAUAAAUUCAAAUCAUUCCUCAGUUCUUAAGGCCAUAUUGUGUGCAGGUCUGUAUCCCAAUGUAUCUGCGCGAGAAGAAGGCAUUGCUACAACUGCUCUUGGGAACCUAAAACAGAGUGCAAAUAAUUCAGCAAAGAGUAACCCUGCAUGGUAUGAUGGAAAACGAGAAGUUCAUAUUCACCCUUCCUCAAUCAACUCUGACUUAAAAGCGUUUCAGUACCCAUUUCUCGUCUUUCUUGAAAAGGUGGAAACUAACAAGGUAUUUUUGAGAGACACUACUGUUGUCUCUCCUUAUACUAUACUGCUUUUUGGUGGCCCAAUUAACGUUCAGCACCAGACUGGAACAGUUACCAUAGAUGGAUGGCUAGAAGUUACCGCGCCAGCACAAACAGCUGUGCUAUUUAAGGAACUCCGGCUGACUCUUCAUGAUAUUCUCAAGGAGCUUAUUCGUAAUCCACAGGCUUCCAAGGUGACUGAUAAUGAAGUUCUCAGAUCUAUAAUCCAGCUGCUGUUAGAAGAAGAUAAACAAAGAAAAUAAUCACAAAACCUUGGAUCAGGUGAUCAUUCGCGCCCAGACAUAGCUAGCAGAAACACGUAGGAGAGUUCAACCUUUUGUACGAUUGCAAAAAAGGUAACUUGCUGCUAUCUGGUUGCUGAUAUCUCGUGGGUGAGGUGAUGGACUAUCUGAUUGGUGAUCUCAGGAGUAGGACAAAAUUUGUUCUAAGGUUAAUUGAUCAUGAAUCAUCCCACAAAAUUAAUCAUUCAGCAAUUGACAGAAUCACUAAAAUUUGAUAUGUAUAUUAUCCCAAAAAGCUAAUGGAGAACUAUGUUUGGCUGGA
rnacentral:misc_RNA from 1 species